rnacentral:rRNA from 1 species
AACCUGCGGAAGGAUCAUUAAUGAGAUUGUUGCUUUGGCCUAUCUAUACCCCUUUGUGCAUACUACCAUGUUGCUUCCACUGGACAGGCUGGCUCACAUGAGUCAGCCCUCUGGCUUCGGCUGGGGAGUGCCAGUGGAUAGCCUUCUCUUGAAACCUCAUUGAAUAUAGAUAUCUAGUCUGAAUAAACAAAACUUGAAUAAAACUUUCAACAACGGAUCUCUAGGCUCUUGCAUCGAUGAAGAACGCAGUGAAAUGCGAUACGUAAUGUGAAUUGCAGAAUUUCGUGAAUCAUUGAAUCUUUGAACGCACAUUGCGCCCUAUGGUAUUCCAUAGGGCAUGCCUGUCUGAGCGUCAGCUACCCCCACUCUCAAGCAUUUUGCUUGGAUAACUUUGGAGAAGCUAUACUUGAGGUGUAGCUCUCCAUAAAAGCAUAGGCAGUACGGAGGUUUCUCUUGCUGAACGUAAUAUUAUAAAUGUCACGUUUGCUUGGGAGCUUGUGUGCUUGCCUACAACCCACAAAUUCUAAAUGGGUGACCUCAGAUCAGGUAGGGAUACCCGCUGAACUUAAGCAUAUCA